CAGUUAGUUAAUCUUAUGUUCUUAUGUGCUGAGUAGUAGGAAUUAGCAGUUAGUUAAUCUUAUGUUCUUAUGUGCUGAGGAGUUUACAAUACUUUAUAUAAUAGACAUGAAUAAAGGAAAUAAUACCACAUUUUCGGGUCACAAAAAUAUUCGGACACUUCUUACGCUUCGGGAUUCUGUUUUUCUCAGAAACCGCUGUUUCGGAGAAUGGUAAGUGUUUGUAUACAAACAUAGCUUUGGUCGUUGAUACCAUUUCAAUAAGCUUCAGUACCAACUCUAAUAUUCAUGAAAAUGGGUCGGAAAGGUAGAAAUACAUCGUUUGAAAUGCGUCAGCUCGUAAUAUUCCACCGGGAAAAGGGAAAAUCGUAUCGGGAAAUAAGUUCCAUGCUCGGUGUUAGCAAAAGUACUGUGUCGGACAUUGUGAGAAGAUACAAUACUGAGGAUCGUAUUAAAUCUAUCCCCUAAAUCGGCCGACCACCUGUUUUAAACGCGAGAGAUAGAAUGUACGAUCGGAAUCGAUCGUGAGCGAGAAAGUAGCAUUUUGUAAAACGCGCCCUUAGUCCGACAUUAGCGAUCAUAUCCCCACCACUCGGCGCCGAGCGUGGGCACGCCCUGCUGGGCCCAUUAUCGAAGACAUUCGGUCUAUUCUUUCGCCAGACGCUUAAGAGAACACUUCAUUUUUCCAACGAACAUAGUAAACGAUUCAACAUCCCAGGAGUAGUGCGAUCACAUCCCAGGAUCGACGAUAGAUAGGUGACGGACCGCAGAGGCGGUAAUUAACGAUAAAGGUGACGGACCGCAGAGGCGGUAAUUAACGAUAAAGAAAGGGAGAGGCGAUACGAAACGCUGAAUCCAAUCGCCGGAGGACUCCACGUAGGAGGAAUUUUUGGCAAAUACAUAGAAGAAGAAUCGUAAGAAAAGUUAAGUGCAAUCCAUGUUUAAGUGCACCAACACUAGCCAGUGAGGUUUUCGAAGAGACGAAAAAGAAGGUUUCGGCAGGAACAAUUCGACGAACUUUAAGAGAACAUGGCUAUAAUGGUAGGGUUGCUAGGAAGAAACCCUUUAUUAAGGGGUUAUAUCCACUUGUGAUUUUCAAAAAAAAUUUCUUUUUUUUUUUCAUUUUUUGAAUGUAAAUAUAUUCAAGAAUAUUCUCUGAAAAUUUCAAAUCGAUCCGACAAUUAGUUUCGGAGAUGUGAGCGUAUUAGUAAGAACGUCUCCGAGCGUUCGAAAGUAGGCGGAGCACGAGCCGAAGUAGCAGCUGUUUCUGGUAGCCGCUAUACUUUUGAUCUCGACUUAUAUUGUGUUUGGGACCCUAAGAUAAUAAUACAAAAGGUCUAGUUUAUACGUGAAACCUAUGUUGAGGAAUUUUAAGUUAAAAAUAUGUGAACUCAUCAGUUAAAAGUGAUCUUCCACGUGGACAAGUUGUGUUUUUGCUCAGUUUGUGUAUUUCUCAGUGUGUAUAGUUUAAUUAAUUAAAGUAAAAAAUGCCUCGUAAAAUUAGCAGAGAAACUCGUAGAACUUCCAGUGAACAGUUGUCUCGAAGAAAUAAACGGAAGAACGUUUUUAAUCCGAAAACCGUGGAAUAUGAUGAUAGCAGUUUGAUUAUGAGGCCUUACCACCUGAUGUUGCAACAGCUAUUUUUCCAAUUUACGAAGAUCUAAGUAACAAAAAAUUAUUGGAACGAUGCGUUGGUGGUUUUACCCAGAACAAUAAUGAAAGUUAUAAUCAGCUGAUAUGGAAAAUAACUCCAAAAAUUAUUCCAGCUGGCUCUAAAAUUGUGGAAAUAGCUGCAAACAUUGCAGCCGGGGUCUUUAAUGAAGAGGACGCAGAGCGCAUCUCAAUUUCGGACGCAAGAGCGCAAGGGUCGACGCGCGAGGGGAGAAUGGCUCGUAGACAACAACAACUAAACAUUUUGGAGGCAAACGACGAAGCAGAGGGUUCCUCUUAUGGUGCUGGAAUAGAUGACACGAUGUAAUUUGAAAAAAAAAAUUUUUAAUUUAGUGUAAAUCAUUCCCGAAACUUUAAACGCGUUUAUCUCGAAACCGUGUUUUCAGAGUUGGUGAGGAAAAUUUCUCCGAAACCGCUAAACCGAUCGGUUUGAAAUUUUCACACAACUUACUCAGAUAUAUUUUUCAGGUAAUGAUCGAAGGAAUAAGGUUUUGGACAAUAAUUUCGAUUUUUUAAGCCACUUUGAAGUGAAAAAUUUUCAUAAAAAACUGAAUUUUUUUUUUGAACAGCCGCCAUUUUGUCAAAAAUCUAAAUUUUGACUAGUCCUUCGAUCAUUACCUGUAUUUAUUUAUUACAAAACUAAACAUUUUUGGUUUUUGGUUUUCAAAUAAUUUGGACCAGAGAUAUCUUGCUCACCGCCAAGCACUUUUUUUUGGAGGUCUCUCCGCAGAUCAUCUACAGGAGCUAGGGGAUCCAAUAUUUUUUUAAAUAAACCGUUGAUUGUUAAAGUACAUUAAAUUCUGUUUAAGUACAUUUUUUUCAUUAAUGUAUAAAAUUAAAUGCCUCUUUGGAAAAAAUUCACAAAAAAACGCGUUUUUUCUGCCUCGCAAGUGGAUAUAACCCCUUAAUGAAGCAAAUAGGAGAAAACGAAUAAACUACGCAAAGGAGUAUAUUUCUAAAGAAAAUUCAUGGUGGAGUAAUGUUAUAUUUGCCGAUGAGAGUAAAUUUAACAUUACGAUUUCGACGGAAGACGUAUGGUGUGGCGUAAGCCGAAUACAGAGUUUCGGCCUGCCAAUAUGAGAGGUACGGUGAAACACGGAGGUGGCAGCGUAAUGGUUUGGGGCUGCAUGUCGACUUCCGGCGUUGGAAAUUUAGUUUUUAUCGAUGGCAUCAUGGAUAAGAAUGCUUACUUGAGCCUCUUGAAGAACAAUUUAAAACAAAGUGCGGAAAAAAUGGGGAUUUCAGAAGACUUUAAAUUUUACCAGGAUAAUGAUCCUAAGCAUAAAGCACGUAUUGUACAGGAAUUUUUAUUAUACAAUUGCCGCAAAGUUCUUCAUCCUCCUCCACAGUCGCCGGACCUUAAUCCCAUAGAAAACUUAUGGGAUGAAUUGAACCGACGGAUUCGCAGGAUGCCCAUUCGCUCAAAAGAAGAGUUAAAAAUAAGGCUUCAAGACGAAUGGUCAUACAUAUCCAUAGAAUACGUAAAAAAAAUAAUUUCUAAUAUGCCGAGUCGAUUAAGACACGUCAUAAAACAAAAUGGUUAUGCAACAAAAUAUUAAAGUGGGGUGGUUAAUGUUAAAUUUUGUGUCAAAGAUGUUAUUUUUGAUAGUGUCCGAAUAUUUUUGUGACCCGAAAAUGUGGCAUUAUUUCCUUUAUUUAUGGCUAUUAUAUAUGUAAUGUAUGUAAAUUUUAUAAACUAAUCAUAUGUCUUUAGUAACAUGAAUAAAACGCUUAUUAUUAGAAAAAGUAACAGACACGAUUCCUUUUCACAUAACUGAGAUAUUAAGUCGUAAAGCUUGCAAUACACUGGUGUCCGAAUAUUUCUGAGAGUCACUGUAGAUCGAAUAUGAUUAUUGAAAUAGGAAAAUAUCGGUGAAGUUAUAAUUGUCAUAAUUUAACAAAAUGUAGGAGGGGACGAAGUAAAUGAAAGCCAGGAAUGUGUAAUAAUAUCGCGAAUGCGAGGAUUGAACCGCGUUUUAAAAUAAUAGCAGCGAUCAACUUGAUGUCUUACCGUGCACCGGGCUUUGAUACGACGAUAAUAUAGAUCUUAAAAAAAAAAAAGAAAUUAGAAAAAACACAAAGUGAAGAAAAAAGGUUUAAAAAAAAAAAGCGUUUAAAAAUAAUGAAAAAAAGUAAAAAGUGUUUAGUAUAUUCGACUGUACGCUUGAAACAUAAAAGAUAGAAAGAAAGAAGAAAAACAAAGAAAAACAAAUGACAACCGCGUUUUUCUGCGCAAACGAGGAAUCAUCAUCACCAUAGGUGGUUUCUUAUUGGUAUAGCAUCGUAAUUUUUCUUACCUAGUCCACGCCUAGAGAGAAAGCGAGUAUUAAACAAUAAUAAAAUAAUAAAAUCACUUGACACGCGCGCGCGCCCCCCCGAGUUCAUGAAAACGGCAAAUAAGAUGUUUUUUUUUCCAUAACGAGGAAGAAA
rnacentral:lncRNA from 1 species